rnacentral:rRNA from 13 species
UGACGGGCGUAUGGAUGAUUGUGUGGCGGUGGGCGUUUGGGCGUGGAGGUGGUGGAGGUGAUUUGUCUGGUUAAUUCCGUUAACGAACGAGACCUUAGCCUAUUAAAUAGU